rnacentral:rRNA from 1 species
GUCCACGCCGUAAACGUUGGGCGCUAGGUGUGGGGCUCUUUCCACGAGUUCCGUGCCGCAGCAAACGCAUUAAGCGCCCCGCCUGGGGAGUACGGCCGCAAGGCUAAAACUCAAAGGAAUUGACGGGGGCCCGCACAAGCGGCGGAGCAUGCGGAUUAAUUCGAUGCAACGCGAAGAACCUUACCAAGGCUUGACAUGGGCAGUAAUCCGGCAGAGAUGUCGGGUCCGUAAGGGCUGUUCACAGGUGGUGCAUGGUUGUCGU